GCCCAUGUAGCUCAGUCGGCUAGAGCAAUGCUUUCGUAAAGCAGAGGUCGUCGGUUCGAAUCCGACCAUGGGCU
rnacentral:tRNA from 1 species